rnacentral:rRNA from 1 species
UACGGGGGGGGCAAGCGUUGUUCGGAAUUACUGGGCGUAAAGGGCUCGUAGGUGGCCAACUAAGUCAGACGUGAAAUCCCUCGGCUUAACCGGGGAACUGCGUCUGAUACUGGAUGGCUAGAGUUUGGGAGAGGGAUGCGGAAUUCCAGGUGUAGCGGUGAAAUGCGUAGAUAUCUGGAGGAACACCCGUGGCGAAGGCGGCUCUCUGGGACGGUACUGACGCUGAGACGCGAAAGCGUGGGGAGCGAACAGG